UUACGAUCAUAUAGCGUUGAAAUACCGGGUCGUAUACGAUCACCGAAGUUAAAGAACGUCGCACCUGGUCAAUACUUCGAUGACUAACCGCUUGGGAAGAGCAGGUGUUGUG